GACGGAGGGUGCCAGCGUUGUUCGGAUUUACUGGGCGUAAAGGGCGCGUAGGCGGCCCUGUCAGUCGGGUGUGAAAGCCCGGGGCUCAACCCCGGAACGGCACCCGAGACGGCAGGGCUGGAGACCGGGAGAGGAGGGUGGAAUAGCCAGUGUAGAGGUGAAAUUCGUAGAUAUUGGCUGGAACACCGGUGGCGAAAGCGGCUCUCUGGCCCGGUUCUGACGCUGAGGCGCGAAAGCGUGGGGAGCAAACAGG
rnacentral:rRNA from 1 species